rnacentral:rRNA from 1 species
UACGUAGGGGGCAAGCGUUGUCCGGAAUUAUUGGGCGUAAAGAGCGUGUAGGCGGCCAGACAAGUCUGCUGUGAAAACUCGAGGCUCAACCUCGAGCUGUCGGUGGAAACUGUCUGGCUAGAGUCCGGAAGAGGAGAGUGGAAUUCCUGGUGUAGCGGUGAAAUGCGCAGAUAUCAGGAAGAACACCUAUGGCGAAGGCAGCUCUCUGGGACGGUACUGACGCUGAGGCGCGAAAGCGUGGGGAGCGAACAGG